rnacentral:rRNA from 1 species
AACAACGGCCAUACCAUGUUGAAUACACCGGUUCUCGUCCUAUCACCGAAGUUAAGCAACAUCGGGCGCGGUUAGUACUUGGAUGGGUGACCGCCUGGGAACACCGGGUGCUGUUGGCU